rnacentral:rRNA from 1 species
CCUACGGGCGACAGCAGUGAGGAAUAUUGGUCAAUGGGCGCGAGCCUGAACCAGCCAAGUAGCGUGAAGGAUGACUGCCCUACGGGCUGUAAACUUCUUUUAUAAAGGAAUAAAGUGAGGCACGUGUGCCUUUUUGUAUGUACUUUAUGUAUAAGGAUCGGCUAACUCCGCUCCAGCAGCCGCGGUAAGACGGAGGAUCCGAGCUUUAUCCGGAUUUAUUGGGUUUAAAGGGAGCGUAGAGGGGUUGUUAAGUCAGUUGUGAAAGUUUGCGGCUCAACCGUAAAAUUGCAAUGGAUACUGGCAGCCUUGAGUACAGAUGAGGUAGGCGGAAUUCGUGGUGUAGCGGUGAAAUGCUUAGAUAUCACGAAGAACUCCGAUUGCGAAGGCAGCUUACUAAACUGCCACUGACAUUGAUGCUCGAAAGUGUGGGUAUCAAACAGGAUUAGAUACCCUUGUAGUC